GCCCCGCGCCGCGUGGGACCCGUUGAAGGAACCACCUGGGUUCCGUUAGGGCUGGCUGGGAAAAAAGAUAUGAUGGAAAGACGCGGGGAGACGUCUCAGUGGUCUACUAUGGUUGCUCCUGGGCUGGAGAAGAUCAGGACCUAUUCUUACUAUCCAUCGACUGAUUCCAUCCAUCGCUACCCAUCUGCCACCCAUCUGUAACCAUCUUUCUUGCUCUGAAAAUAAUACGCUACAGUACUUUGAAACCACUCGAUAAUACAUAGCGUGGAUUUUCCGAGUCCUGCUUCCACACGUGAGCUACCAGCGAGCAUGUCUCAGGCUGUGAGAAUGGAUAAGGACAGCUGGAAGCAAUGGUGUUCUUCUCAGCCGGAACCCGGUGUGGUCAGUGUGCAGCCUGACACUCGAAACUCAUUCAUCUUCCUGU